rnacentral:rRNA from 1 species
AGAGUUUGAUCAUGGCUCAGAAUCAACGCUGGCGGCGUGCCUAACACAUGCAAGUCGAACGAGAAAGUGACUUCGGUCACUGGAAAGUGGCGUCCGGGUGAGUAACACGUGGGUAAUCUACCCUCGGGUGGGGAAUAACGGAUCGAAAGAUUCGCUAAUACCGCAUAAUGCAGCGGCACCUAAUGGUGAAUAGUUGUUAAAGCGGGGGAUCGCAAGACCUCGCGCCUGAAGAGGAGCCUGCGGCAGAUUAGCUAGUUGGUGAGGUAAUGGCUCACCAAGGCUACGAUCUGUAGCUGGUCUGAGAGGACGGCCAGCCACACUGGCACUGACACACGGGCCAGACUCCUACGGGAGGCAGCAGUGGGGAAUUUUGGGCAAUGGGCGAAAGCCUGACCCAGCAACGCCGCGUGAGGGAGGAAAUCCUUCGGGAUGUAAACCUCGCAAGCAAGGGAAGAAUGCCCGAGACUUAAUACGUUUCGGGAGGGACGGUACCUUGCGUAAGCCACGGCUAACUACGUGCCAGCCGCCGCGGUAAUUC